AUACGGAGGGGGCUAGCGUUAUUCGGAAUUACUGGGCGUAAAGAGUUCGUAGGCGGACUGGAAAGUUAGAGGUGAAAGCCCAGGGCUCAACCCUGGAACGGCCUUUAAAACUUCCAGUCUAGAGACAGAUAGAGGUAAGGGGAAUACUUAGUGUAGAGGUGAAAUUCGUAGAUAUUAAGUGGAACACCAGUGGCGAAGGCGCCUUACUGGAUCUGUACUGACGCUGAGGAACGAAAGCGUGGGGAGCGAACGGAAUUAGAAACCCCAGUAGUCC
rnacentral:rRNA from 1 species